CUCCAGCCUGGGUAACAAGAGCGAAACUCCGUCUCAAAAAAAAAAAAAGAAUAGAAGAAAAUCUGGUUGAAAAGGGAGGAGUAGGCCGGGUGUGGUGAGUGGCUCAUGCUUGUAAUCACAGCACUUUUAGAGGCUGAGGUUGGUGGAUCACCUGAGGUCAGGAGUUCGAGACCAGCCUGGCCAACAUGGUGAAACUCCAUCUCUACUAAAAAUACAAAAAAAUUAGCUGGGCAUGGUGGCAGGCGCCUGUAAUCCCAGCUACUUGGGUGGCUGAGAUAGGAGAAUUGCUUGGACCCAGGAGGCAGAGUUUGCAGCGAGCUGAGAUGGUGCCAUUGCACUCCAGCCUGGGUGACAGAGUGAGACUCCAUCUCAAAAAAUGAAAAUAAGAAAAGGAAGGAGCAUUUUAAUAGUCUUCAGAUAAUUGAGGAAGUACUUCUUUGAUAUUACACCCAAACUCCACAAAGGAUAGUUUCUUCAAGGACAUUUGCAUUGUGGAAUCUGAAACCAUAUUAGUAACUUUUCGUUCUUGGGUUCAUUAAAAACCAUUGUUCUUUGAGAUGGGCAAAAUGGCUCACACCUGUAAUCCCGCCAUUUUGAAAGGCUGAAGAGGGUGGAUCACUUGACUUUAGGAAUUUGUGACCAGCCUGUGCAGCAUAGCAAACCCCAUCUCUACAAAAAAUUAGCCAGAUGUGGUGGGCCUGUAGUCCCAGCUAGUUUAGGAGCUGUAGUAGGAAGAUCACUUGAGGCAAGGAGGCAGAGGCAAUGAGCUGAGACUCUGUCUCACCGGGGAAAGAAAAGCUAUAAUGUGUUUAUUAGUGCUUUGCAACUUAUACUUUCUUUUUUCCUUUUUUUUUUUGAGACAAAGUUUCGCUCUUGUUACCCAGGCUGGAGUGCAAUGACACAAUCACGGCUCACUGCAACCUUCGCCUCCCAGGUUCAGGCAAUUCUCCUGCCUCAGCCUCCUGAGUAGCUGGGAUUACAGGCACAUGCCACCAUGCCCAGCUAAUUUUUUGUAUUUUU
rnacentral:lncRNA from 13 species